UACGUAGGGGGCAAGCGUUGUUCGGAAUUACUGGGCGUAAAGGGCUCGUAGGCGGCCAACUAAGUCAUGCGUGAAAUCCCUCGGCUUAACCGGGGAACUGCGUCUGAUACUGGAUGGCUUGAGUUCGGGAGAGGGAUGCGGAAUUCCAGGUGUAGCGGUGAAAUGCGUAGAUAUCUGGAGGAACACCGGUGGCGAAGGCGGCAUCCUGGACCGAUACUGACGCUGAGGAGCGAAAGCGAGGGGAGCAAACGGG
rnacentral:rRNA from 1 species